rnacentral:rRNA from 2 species
GAGUCUCCUGAAGGAACGUUGAAGACGACGACGUUGAUAGGCCGGGUGUAUAAGCGCAGCGAUGCGUUGAGCUAACCGGUACUAAUGAACCGUGAGGCUUAACCUUACAACGCCGAAG